GAGAAGCUCCUGACAAAGGGGAAUCUUGUCAGAGUGGUUCCUCUCAGUGGAAUAUAAAACAAAUCAUACAAGAGCAUUAAACAGACCUUUGAGACACAGGGAGCAGGAGUUAUCUGUAGGUAAUGCUGUCUGAACUAAUCAAAGACAUAUAGUGAAAGGGAUGAAAGAAGGAUGGUUCCUCCUAAAGUACAUAUCUGAAAUAGAGCAGUGUUGGCACCACGAGCAAAGCCCCAUUUCCCUCCAGAUUCUGGAACAGAGCCCAUAAAAUGUGUGCUGCAGCUGUAGCAGAGCUCCUGAGAGACGAAUGGCAUCUCAGAGCAUAACUCCAUGCAGCAGCACUGCCGGGAAAGCAAGUUCAAAGGCAUCCAGCUCUCUCCAGAGAAUACAGCUAUGUGAGACCCUGCUGGAUAGAUGACUGGGUACCUGUUUUAGCACCAAAGUAUUAUAAAGAGCUUGUUCUGCCUCCAGGCAGUAAUUUGCUGAAGCACACAAGACACAUUUCCCAUUGGCAGGAUGAAAAGAAAAC